rnacentral:lncRNA from 1 species
UAAAUAUGUCUUUUUUAAAAAGAAAUACAUAUGUGGACAAAUAGACAUGCAGAAACUUAUUUAUUUCAGCCUUGUCUAUAGGAGGAAUGGUGGUGGUGAUGGUUUAGUCACCGAGCCGUGUCCGACUCUUGCGACCCCGUGGACUGUAGCCUGCCAGGCUCCUCCGNCCCUGGGAUUUUCCAGGCAAGAACCGACUGAGCUACCAGGGAAUAAAUAAUUCCAAGUCAUCUGAGUAUCUGUCAGUACAAUUCAUUCUGUAUCAUUUGAAAUAAACUUAUACUGGUACUCUUCAUAUUACUGUGGCUCCAUAGCAAAUUACCCCCACAAUGUGGUAUGAAACAAUCAUUUAUAUUGCUCACAGAUUCUAUGGGUCAAAAAUUCACACAGAGCACAACAGAGAUAACUUUCUCUACUCCAUUAUGCACAGAGCCCCAACCAGAAGAGCCAAAGGCUGAGGACUGGAAUCAUCUGAAAACUUUUCACUCUCCUAUUGAUGUUUGAUGCUGACUGGAGGCUGCAGGCUGGAGACCUCAGUUUGAUUUAAUGUAGACCAUGUUGUCUCUUAGUAUGGACUGGUUUGGGGCUUCCUCACAACCUGAUGGCUGGGUUCCAAGGGCAAGUAUGCCAAGAGAGACAGAGAACAAGACCGAAACCGAGCCAGGUAAAAAGCAUAUACCUUUUAUGACUGAGCCUUAGAAGUUAUACAGUGUUGGUUCUACUGUAUUCUAUCUGUCCAAGUUCCAGAGGAGGGGGAAAUAGACCCUAUCUCUUGACUGAGGAGAAGCAAAGUUCUUACAGAACAUGUGGGCGUUUUGGGAAAUUGCAAGUUGCUACAAGUGCUUAUGUGGAAGGACCUCCUAAGUUCCUUAAGGGUAAAUAAAUGAGAUGAAUAAUAAGUACACUGUGAUCCCAUUUAUGGCUUUUUAAAAAAAUGCAAUACAAAACCAUAUUUCCAAAUGUAAACACACAAUGUUUAAAGAUAUGUAUUUUCAAACCACAUAGUUUCUAAGUAUAACCUGGGUCUUCAGCCAAAGAAACAAUGAUCCAUUCAAGUCAGGCAGGAAAAACUGGCCAAAAUGGUCUCACCAUUUCCUCAAGACAGGUUGAAGUGUCAUUUUUGCUGAGAAAACUCUCUUACUCAUUAACUGUGGAAUAUAAGCUUGUCCUUAAAUACAUGUGAUUCCAUUGUCCUGAAUGAGUGGCCACAAGUGUUCAAAUUCUUUCUACCUUGUAUGUUGUCAUUGAGUUUUCUCACACUAGAGGGCUGAUUUGAUGUUGUUUCUUUCUGAAGGAUNNNNNNNNNNNNNNNNNNNNNNNNNNNNNNNNNNNNNNNNNNNNNNNNNNNNNNNNNNNNNNNNNNNNNNNNNNNNNNNNNNNNNNNNNNNNNNNNNNNUCUCACACUAGAGGGCUGAUUUGAUGUUGUUUCUUUCUGAAGGAUAUUUUCAGAAAGAUGAGAUUUGUAAAGAACUCCUAGAGGUCAGGAACUGAGUCAUUCAUUUCGUAUUCACUUAUCUAACACAUAAAAAGGGGUCUUGUUAAGUUUUUUGACUAAAUUAUGCUAUUCCUUCAUUAGUUUAGGAUAUUUAUAAUUACAAAUAAAUUCUGGCCUCCUUGCUAAUUAAUAAACUAAUAAGAUAUCUGCUAUCUAAGCUCCAGUUUCUCUGCUUUAUAUCCCAGUGUUUAAAUAUCAAUGAUGAGCUUCUAAAUAAGAUGAUUUCUCUAGGAAAUUUGUCCUUCUACUUAAGAAAUCUUUUCUUUAUUACUCGUGUUGCUGUUGUUCAGUCGCUAAGUCAUGUGUGACUUUUUCCCAACCCCAUGGGCUACAGCAUGCCAGGCUUCCUUCCCAGUCCUUCACUAACUCCUGGAGUUUGCUCAGACUUAUGUCCAUUGAGUGAGUGAUGCCAUCCAACCAUCUCAUCCUCUGUCCUCCUGCCCUCAAUCUUGUCCAGCAUAAGGGUCUUUCCCAGUGACCUGGCUCUUCACAUCGAGUAGCCAAAGUAUUGGAGCUUCAGCUUUAGCAGCAGUUCUUUCAAUGAAUAUUCAGGGUUUUUUACUCACGUUUUUGAGUAAUAUGCUAUGAUAAUAGCAUUAUUUUAGGCAAAGAAAUAGAAUUAGUUCUAUUUAUCUAUUUCUUUAGGCAUAUCUGC